UUUGUCCCAUUCUGUGGUUGUCCUUAUUUUCUUAUGUAACCUUUGUAUUAGUCUGUUUUCAUGCUGCUGAUAAAGACAUACCUGAGACUGGUCAAUUUACAAAAGAAGGAGGUUUAUUGGACUCACAGUUCCAUGUGGCUGGGGAGACCACACAAUCAUGGCGAAAGAUGAAAGGCAAGGAGGAGCAAGUCACGUCUUACAUGGAUGGCAGCAGGCAAAGUGAGAGCUUGUGCAGGGAAACUCUCAUUUUUAAAACCAUCAGAUCUCGUGAGACUCAUUCACUAUCAUGAGAACAGCACAAGAAAGACCUGCCCCCAUAAUUCAGUCACCUUCCACUGGGUUCCUCCCACAACACAUGAGAAUUCUGGGAGUGGUGACUGCUAUGGUUUGAAAUAUGUUCCCACAAAAUUCAUGUUUGGAAUGCUUAUAUUCCUGUUGGUGGGAAUAUAAAACCGUACAUCUAGUAUGGAAAACAAUAUGGUGAUUCCUCAAGAAAUUAGACCCCUAAUCCAAUAUGAUUUGUGUCUUUAUAAAAAAGGGAAAUUUGUGCACAGAGAUAACACAGGGGAUAUGCCAUAUGAAGAUGAAGGCAGAAUUCUACAAGCCCAGGGAUGCCAAAGAUUGCCAGCAAACCACCAGAAGCUAGGAGAGAAGUGUGGAUUAGAUUCUUCCUCACAGCCCUCAGAAGGAUCCAGCCCUGCCAAGAACUUGAUCUCAGACUUCUAGUCUCCAGAACUGUGAGACAGUGCAUUUUGUUUUGUAAGUCAGCCAUAUGGUUUGUGGCACUUUUUUAUGGCAGCCCUAGGAGAUGAAGACAAUAUGCAACAUGGUAUGUCCAUUAUAGGACACUGUGGGCCAUAAAUGUGUUCUUUGGCCUGAAGAAAUAAAACUUGGUGGUCCAAG
rnacentral:lncRNA from 1 species